GAGAGAAAGCAAGAACAGAAGAGAAAGAGACAGAGAGAAGAAAAAGAAAGAAAAAGACAAAGAGAAAAAGAGAAAAGAGAAACAGUUUUCUUUCUUCUUUCUCUUGUUGUUUGUUGUUGUUUGUUGUUUGAGAAGUUUUGUUUUUUGUGAGAAAGAUUUUUUGAUUGAAUCUUUCUUUUUGAGUUAUCCUCUUUCUUCUUCUUUUGUUUUUGUAAUUUAUAUCUAUUGUACAU
rnacentral:rRNA from 1 species